rnacentral:rRNA from 1 species
UACGGAGGGAGCUAGCGUUGUUCGGAAUUACUGGGCGUAAAGCGCACGUAGGCGGCUUUGUAAGUUAGAGGUGAAAGCCCGGGGCUCAACCCCGGAAUUGCCUUUAAGACUGCAUCGCUUGAAUCCAGGAGAGGUGAGUGGAAUUCCGAGUGUAGAGGUGAAAUUCGUAGAUAUUCGGCGGAACACCAGUGGCGAAGGCGACUCACUGGCCCGAUACUGACGCUGAGGCGCGAAAGCGUGGGGAGCGAACAGG